CAAAGCUGAGGAGAGAGUAAAGAUCUAUGCAAACUAUUGGCUGCUUACUUGUUCCACUGUAUUGGCCUGGCAAAGGGUAAGCCUUUCCCUGUCAGGCUGGGAGAACCUGCAAGCAAGCGCUGCACCCUAUGUCUGGUGAAAGUCACCCCCAUGAGCAGGUCUUCUGCUUGUAUGCCUUCUGAGCAAGCAAGGAGAGACAUGCUGCUACUUACACUGAUAUGACUGAGAUCAGCCACCUCAUCUGCUAAAACCGAAGUAUGGAAUUAAAUGGCACAAUAAAUUUUAAAACUUAUGCACUGCAAUGCUUGAUCCUGAUGCCUGCUGUAUGAUGUACUGUUUAUUGCAGGCCACAGUAUAGAAAUACACGCCUGGCUCCUUGUCUGUUCUCAGCUCUGACCAUAGCUCAUGCCUUUGCUGUGCCAACCUGAGGCCUGGCUGCCCCAAGGAGCCCAUAUGUCCUGCUGGUGCUGUCCCCCAAGGUCCCACAGCUCACCCACCCACUGAGGGUUUCACACACAUCUGGUGGCCAUGUCUGAUGGAAACCACAACUGAGAAGAUGGAGAUCUAAAAGGACAUCAAAUGUGUGCAGAGCUGCUUCACAAUAAAAGCAGAUUUUAAAUGCCUCACUACACAUAACAUUACCCUUGCCGUGCAAAGGAACUGUGUCCACGUCCUGGCAUGUGCUGCUGGGCGCCAGUCCAUGGCUCCGAGGAUGGGUGGUCUUUCCACAGUGAAUCGCAGAUACAUUCAGCCAUCUCCUCUACUGGACUCUGGACUCUUCUCUUUCC
rnacentral:lncRNA from 1 species